UAUUCUGCCCUACGGGGAAGGAUGAGAAGCUUCGACUAAGGUUCGACUCGAGCGUAGCGAGAGAACGUUGCCGCAGGCAACGGCCCGAAGGGCGAGGCGCUUUAGCGCCGAGUCAUCCUUCCCCCACUACUG
rnacentral:sRNA from 3 species